AUACGUAGGUGACAAGCGUUAUCCGGAUUUACUGGGCGUAAAGGGCGUGUAGGCGGUCUUGCAAGUCAGAAGUGAAAUUCCUGAGCUCAACUCGGGCGCUGCUUCUGAAACUGCAGGACUUGAGUGCUGGAGGGGAUAGCGGAAUUCCUAGUGGAGCGGUAAAAUGCGCAGAUAUGAGGAAGAACACCGGUGGCGAAGGCGGCUAGCUGGACAGUAACUGACGCUGAGGCGCGAAAGCGUGGGGAGCAAACAGGAUUAGAUGCCCUGGUAGUCCACGCCGUAAACGAUGAAUACUAGGUGUAGGGGGUAUCGACUCCCUCUGUGCCGCAGUUAACACAAUAAGUAUUCCGCCUGGGGAGUACGGCCGCAAGGUUGAAACUCAAAUGAAUUGGCGGGG
rnacentral:rRNA from 1 species